AUGAAUUGUUCUGCAAUUUUGUAUACUUAGGGCCCGUUUGUUUGACCGGAUUAGGGAGGACUGGACUGGACUGGACUGUAGUCCCUUGUUUGGUCUGUACCAGGAUUAGGUUUAAUGGGAUUAGGUCUGACUCGCUAGGAUUAAACCCCUCACUAGGAGUUCUAAGCGAAGCACCCCGAUCACCCCCGGACUCGUAAGACCUCUGCGCUCCUGCGCUCCUGCGCUCCUGCGAGAGAGAACCUCGCUCAACCUCGAUCCUCGCCGUGCUCCCUCCUUGCCCUGCUCCCUCAUCGUCGUCCUCCUCAUCCUCAUCUCUGCAUCCUGCUCGCCCUCAUCUGAGGCUUGAUUUUUUAUCGGAGAGGAUUCUUUCAUUAGCUUUUGAUGUGAUUUCAUCUCUGUUGAAACAGGGCCUGGAUGGAGAAUAGUUUCUCCACAUUUUUCAUCUCUGUUGGACUCUGCAAUCUUUCAAGCAUUGGUAAUGAAUGAAAAGGAUAUCGUAGUGUGGGAAGAAGAUGCAGAUGAGUACAUACGAAAGAAUCUUCCAUCUGACAUAGUAUGGAAAGUUUAUACCACAUUUAGUGUGUGAUAUGUAAGACAUUUUAUAUAGGUAUGAGGUAUUACUACCAGUUGCAUACUAUGUGUGUAAUAUAUGCGGCGUUGUCUUAUGCUUAAGUGCUCUGCCUAAGAUGUAAAAUUGAUGGGGUCUAUUAGAAUUAAACCAUAUUCGCCUUUUGGA